CUUGUCAAAAUCUACUUAAUUUUUUUUAAGUUUCAAGCAACAAUGUUGAACUGAGUUGACACAACUUUAUUUGAAUCAGUUCAAAUUAAAAGAAGCUUUGGUUCAAAUACAGAGCAAGACGUGCACCAUUUACAGCCGUUCGACUGGCAGUGCCAAGGCCGGAGCGUCAGGAAGAAGAAUGCAAGGCAUAAUGAGCUGUUUGGUCAAGGGAGCAGUCACCACUGAGCGUGGUGGAGUAUGUGGGGGGAACAUGGCCUGCUCGCAGAACACUUUGAUGAGGGUGAGGUCAAUAUUUCACAGCACAUCAUGAAGAUCUUCACAGUGAAGGAAGAGGGUGCAACAGAGGAUGAAGGUACCGUCUUUGAGGGUCAAGAGGUACUGGCUGGUCUUGGAAAUGUCCCACAGGCAUGUGCUGCACUUCUGGGGUUCAUAUAUGCCUUGAAUUUGCAGUACCCUAAACCACUGACAUACACAUUGGAAGUGUUUCAGAAGCUUUUUAUGGAACAGGAUGGACUGAAACUUUCUCCCAAGGUGCUGUCUCUUAAAACAACAGCUGUUAAUUAAGCCUUGCUAUCUCGAAUAGGCUUGAAGGAGAACGCUGGUGUAAAGUUGACUUGGUGUAAUAAAACAUGAUAUUUUUUUUUUUACUAAAACCUGCCAAUAAAUGCAAAAGUGGUUAAAAGUC